ACUUUCUUUUUUUCUUGUGGAAUAGCAUUUUUUAACACAGGUUUCUUAAUAGAUUUCGCAAAACCGAAGGAAAUCUUCUUCCCUUCUUCUGCCAUUUAUUUGUUAUUUUAACACUGACUUAUAGAUCAAUAGACAUGUAUAUACUAGACAUAAAGAUUGAUGUCACUUGAAACUAUGUACAUGAAUCUAAUAUCUUAUUAUACUUUAUUAAUCUACUCAAAAUUACUUGCACAUUACUAAAAUUUCAUUCCGACAAUAUAUCAAGCGCCUGAAUAAGUGACAUUAAAGUAAACAUAUAUCAGAGAGGAAAUAAGAAGAACUGACGCCUAUGGUCUUCUAUGUUACAGAGCUAGUGCUACACCAUACGGCCAAAUGCCGAAAAUGGCUAGGAUAUCCCAGAGAGAGUAGUGCUGCACCAUGCAGCCAAAUGCUAAUAGACGAAUAUGCGGCUGCUUCUGUUCCAAAUAUCUCCGUUACUGUGCCUGUUGACGGAAAUCGGCGCGGCUGGGAUCGG